UACAGAGGGUGCGAGCGUUGUCCGGAAUCACUGGGCGUAAAGGGCGCGUAGGCGGCCUGGUAAGUCGAUGGUGAAAGCCCGAGGCUCAACUUCGGGUCGGCCACUGAUACUGCUGGGCUUGAGUCGACUAGAGGCAGAUGGAAUUCCGGGUGUAGCGGUGGAAUGCGUAGAGAUCCGGAAGAACACCGGUGGCGAAGGCGGUCUGCUGGGGUCGAACUGACGCUGAGGCGCGACAGCGUGGGGAGCAAACAGG
rnacentral:rRNA from 1 species